rnacentral:rRNA from 1 species
GAUGAACGCUGGCGGCGUGCCUAAUACAUGCGAGUCGAGCGAACAGAUGAGGAGCUUGCUCCUCUGACGUUAGCGGCGGACGGGUGAGUAACACGUGGAUAACCUACCUAUAAGACUGGGAUAACUUCGGGAAACCGGAGCUAAUACCGGAUAAUAUAUUGAACCGCAUGGUUCAAUAGUGAAAGACGGUUUUGCUGUCACUUAUAGAUGGAUCCGCGCCGCAUUAGCUAGUUGGUGAGGUAACGGCUUACCAAGGCAACGAUGCGUAGCCGACCUGAGAGGGUGACCUGCCACAUUGAGACUGAGAGACGGACACGCCUCGUACGGGAGGCAGCAGUGGGGAAUAUUACACACUGGUCGGAAGCCUGAUAAAGUAAUGCCGCGUUCGGGAUGACGGCCUUCGGGGUGUAAACAGCUUUCGCCUGUAACGAAGCGUGAGUGACGGUAAUGGGUCAAGAAGCACCGGCUAACUACGUG